GUGAGUAAUAUAUCGGAACGUACCCUAGAGUGGGGGAUAACGUAGCGAAAGUUACGCUAAUACCGCAUACGAUCUAAGGAUGAAAGUGGGGGAUCGCAAGACCUCAUGCUCGUGGAGCGGCCGAUAUCUGAUUAGCUAGUUGGUAGGGUAAAAGCCUACCAAGGCAUCGAUCAGUAGCUGGUCUGAGAGGACGACCAGCCACACUGGAACUGAGACACGGUCCAGACUCCUACGGGAGGCAGCAGUGGGGAAUUUUGGACAAUGGGCGAAAGCCUGAUCCAGCAAUGCCGCGUGAGUGAAGAAGGCCUUCGGGUUGUAAAGCUCUUUUGUCAGGGAAGAAACGGUGAAAGCUAAUAUCUUUUGCUAAUGACGGUACCUGAAGAAUAAGCACCGGCUAACUACGUGCCAGCAGCCGCGGUAAUACGUAGGGUGCAAGCGUUAAUCGGAAUUACUGGGCGUAAAGCGUGCGCAGGCGGUUUUGUAAGUCUGAUGUGAAAUCCCCGGGCUCAACCUGGGAAUUGCAUUGGAGACUGCAAGGCUAGAAUCUGGCAGAGGGGGGUAGAAUUCCACGUGUAGCAGUGAAAUGCGUAGAUAUGUGGAGGAACACCGAUGGCGAAGGCAGCCCCCUGGGUCAAGAUUGACGCUCAUGCACGAAAGCGUGGGGAGCAAACAGGAUUAGAUACCCUGGUAGUCCACGCCCUAAACGAUGUCUACUAGUUGUCGGGUCUUAAUUGACUUGGUAACGCAGCUAACGCGUGAAGUAGACCGCCUGGGGAGUACGGUCGCAAGAUUAAAACUCAAAGGAAUUGACGGGGACCCGCACAAGCGGUGGAUGAUGUGGAUUAAUUCGAUGCAACGCGAAAAACCUUACCUACCCUUGACAUGGCUGGAAUCCCCGAGAGAUUGGGGAGUGCUCGAAAGAGAACCAGUACACAGGUGCUGCAUGGCUGUCGUCAGCUCGUGUCGUGAGAUGUUGGGUUAAGUCCCGCAACGAGCGCAACCCUUGUCAUUAGUUGCUACGAAAGGGCACUCUAAUGAGACUGCCGGUGACAAACCGGAGGAAGGUGGGGAUGACGUCAAGUCCUCAUGGCCCUUAUGGGUAGGGCUUCACACGUCAUACAAUGGUACAUACAGAGCGCCGCCAACCCGCGAGGGGGAGCUAAUCGCAGAAAGUGUAUCGUAGUCCGGAUUGUAGUCUGCAACUCGACUGCAUGAAGUUGGAAUCGCUAGUAAUCGCGGAUCAGCAUGUCGCGGUGAAUACGUUCCCGGGUCUUGUACACACCGCCCGUCACACCAU
rnacentral:rRNA from 1 species